GGGGAUUUAGCUCAGUGGUUCCAGCGCCUGCCUCGAAAGCAGCAGGACCUGAGUUCGAUCCCCAGUACCA
rnacentral:tRNA from 1 species